CCCCUGCAAUGCGCGUGAUUGUACAAAGCCUUUGUCCUAACGCAUAGAAAAAAGGGAGUUCACCCUGAUACUGGUGAGCAGGUUCCUCUCGCUUAAGGAAAAGCCUAAAGGUAUUACUGAACACCCACCUUUUGAACCCUUGGUUCAAAGCCUUAAACGCAACACGGCAAUUUGUGGGGGU
rnacentral:other from 1 species